AUGCGCAUCUCGUAAUUAUAUAGAGAUCUCUGCUUUAUCCCCUUACAACAGUGUAUGAUCAUAUCAAUCGGUUUCACCGGCACUACACGGAAUGCAAUAAUAUGUAUUAUAAGUAAAUGGACAGCUGUGCUUCAGGCUGGAGACCCAGUUAAUGAGGAGAUGAGGAUGCAUUUGGUGUGAAGGACAUUCCACUUGGUUUGCAGAUUUAGAGUCACCUUUCAUGAAGGUAGAGAGACCGGAUGAAGGACCACGGAGCAGGGCGCAACAUGGAGGACCAAGUGGAUGGGGAAACACCAGAUACAGUGAUAAUGCCAUCCAGAAUCUCCCCAUUGAGAAUAAUCAGCACUUGGAAGAAGAGGAGAAUCAUGCCCCACUAACCCUCCUAGAGGAGCAGCUGGCAGAAGAUCCAGAGAAGCUCAGUAAGCUGCACCAGUCUGGGAACCGUGGAGAGCAGGAGACCAGUGUUCUGGAGUUUGUAAUAAAGAUGGAGAAGGAGGAAGAACAUUCUGGAUUCGGUCAGGAUGGAUGUCAAUAGAGGAACACAGAAAAGCAGGAGAACCCCUUGAGAUCUGAGUUUGUAAUGGAUGAAAGAGACCGUCAAAUGUGGUCGUCUAUAGUUCAAGGGAAUAACCCUGACAUAGUCAUAGACACUGACUUUCCUAAUUUCUCUUGUUGCAGUAUUCAACAGUUUUUCAGAUUGCACCGAUGCUCAGGUACUAUCCAAAUGGCACCCUAUAUUCCCUAUUUAGUGCACUACUUUUGACCAGAGUCCUGACCUUUUGUUUUGGAUCUGAAACUAAAUAAUUGUGUUCAUUGCUACACACCAGAGGGCAGUGUAACACUUCAUUCAAAAAAUAGCACAUGGUCACAGUCACUCCAAUGUAGUUUUGCUGAGGGAACAAGAACUAACCCAAAUUUAAA